GGCGUGCCUAAUACAUGCAAGUCGAACGCUUCUUUUUCCACCGGAGCUUGCUCCACCGGAAAAAGAGGAGUGGCGAACGGGUGAGUAACACGUGGGUAACCUGCCCAUCAGAAGGGGAUAACACUUGGAAACAGGUGCUAAUACCGUAUAACAAUCGAAACCGCAUGGUUUUGAUUUGAAAGGCGCUUUCGGGUGUCGCUGAUGGAUGGACCCGCGGUGCAUUAGCUAGUUGGUGAGGUAACGGCUCACCAAGGCGACGAUGCAUAGCCGACCUGAGAGGGUGAUCGGCCACAUUGGGACUGAGACACGGCCCAAACUCCUACGGGAGGCAGCAGUAGGGAAUCUUCGGCAAUGGACGAAAGUCUGACCGAGCAACGCCGCGUGAGUGAAGAAGGUUUUCGGAUCGUAAAACUCUGUUGUUAGAGAAGAACAAGGAUGAGAGUAACUGUUCAUCCCUUGACGGUAUCUAACCAGAAAGCCACGGCUAACUACGUGCCAGCAGCCGCGGUAAUACGUAGGUGGCAAGCGUUGUCCGGAUUUAUUGGGCGUAAAGCGAGCGCAGGCGGUUUCUUAAGUCUGAUGUGAAAGCCCCCGGCUCAACCGGGGAGGGUCAUUGGAAACUGGGGAGACUUGAGUGCAGAAGAGGAGAGUGGAAUUC
rnacentral:rRNA from 1 species